rnacentral:lncRNA from 1 species
GGAUGAGAAGAAACAAGAAGGGAAGCAAGUAUCUUGAGAAUUGACCUCUUGUAAUCCAAACCCUCCUUCGUGUCCCAAACAGGAAUGUCAAAGCACUUCCCCACAGUGGCGACCUCCUGAGGGCAGGACCCAGCUCGACAGACCUCUGCGUCUCUCGGGACGCCUCCCACCGAAUCAGCGUGCUGAUGGUCCUUAGGACGCGCACAUUGACGC